GGAGAAGGCUGCAAUCACAGGGCAUUCCGCUCUCCAGCUGGACGACCACAUAGUUGAGCUCAAUUUGGGUAUACGAUACCGAUAUCGUAAAAUAGUGCUAAAUCGGCUCUUUGUGUAUCUUCGUCCUCCAACUCCAUGACGUCGAAGAGCGUUUUGAUUCUCUGAAAAUACAAUCACGAACAUAUGUACAUAGGUAAGCAGAGAGCAGCUGGCAGAGUCAAUGUAAUACACCUUACCUUCUCAGUGAAUCGCUUGACAGUAUACACAGAUGCUGCGGCAAAAAGGAAUCCCUGAUCACUGCCUGGCAUCAGUUGCAAGUGCAGAGACAGUCGGCGGAGGGCAUCCAUUACAGCUCUAAACAUCCAGACGAAUGGCCCGGCGAGCUGGCGCUAAAAUC
rnacentral:lncRNA from 1 species